AUCUAAACUUAUUUACUGUUUUAUUUUUCGGAACUGUUUCUAAAAACUAUAAUUAAAUAACCUGUGAAUGUUAAGCUUAUAAUGAAUUCAAAAUUAUAUUUACAAGCCCCUAAUAUACUUUUUAAAGAGGAAUAAUUUAUACAAAGUGGUUAGAUCUGUGUUUGUGGGUUUUUUUGUCUCAUACAUCUUUCUUUAAGUGGUUAGACAUUUUUGUGUCCGGAUGAAAAGGGACUAUUUAUCUUCCUUCUUUUACUAUAAUAUUUA